GUAAACACCGGGGACGCGCGCCGACAGGCGGAGAGCCAGCUUCUGCCUUAAAGAUCACCCGAGAGCUGAGAAACGUGUUGCCAAAAGAAAUUGCACAAAAAUAGUCGCACUAGUGAGCUCUGGGUGGCGGGGUGAUUGUGAGCAGUUUUUACGGGCUACCGUGGCUCCUGUUUUUCACAAAGUAUUAACAGGUGGGUUUAAAACGUCAGGGAGCACACAAAACACUCAGAGAAGCCGAACAGGCGCCCCGGGGCUGCCGGGAGGGAGACGGAAGCUGGCGGGACAGCGCCCUUCAGAUGGCGCGGUACGCUGUCGAUGAGACCUCAGGUUUUUAAAAACAGUCUUUAAACUUCGACCCUACACCAUAAGGACUACGUCGGGUCAAAAUUACUUCUGGUCAGCCGCGGGCCCCAGGUCCCAGGGCUGAGCAAGUCCGGUCUGCGACAACACGAGGCUCUCCCGUGACGGGGCCUAGCCCAAGGCUCCCCCCGCAGAUCUCCUGGGAUUCAGAACUACCAAAUCGCCGGCAGACAGGUCUCCAUCAGAGGAAGCCUGUGACGGCCGCCAGGAUAAAAUAAAAAGGACAAUGGCAAGUGAUAGCAAAGACUUAGAGAAGCUGGAAUUCUCCUAAAUCCUUGGUAGGAGUGUAAAAUGGUGCAGCUUCUUCUAUAAUUCAGCAUCCCCUACCAUACUCCCUGGAACCCACCCAAGAGAAAUACGACCAGAGAGACUUGCAUGCAAACAUUCCUAACAGCAUUGUCCACGCCAACCAGAACGUCCACCAACCGCGGAUGCAUGAGCAGCAGGGAAAUGGCCAUGAAAAGAAACUGCUGAGACAUGGGCCUACAUGGAUGAACCUCAAAAACGCUAGGCCAGGUGAAAGAUGCCAGACAAGAAAAUUCCAUUAUUCCAUUUAUGUGACACUUCUUAAAAAGGUAAAUCUCUAGAGAGGAAGCAAAUUCAUGUUUGCCUGGGGGUGAGAGUGGGAUCAACUGCAAACAGGCACGAAGGAACUUUUUUGGGUGAUGAAAAAUAAAACUUUGGAUGUCGAACAUAUUUUGAAACUAGAUUGCAAUGAUAGUUGCAUAACUGUAUACAUUUAUUAAAAUCGUGGAACAC
rnacentral:lncRNA from 10 species